rnacentral:rRNA from 1 species
AGAGUUUGAUCAUGGCUCAGAUUGAACGCUGGCGGCAGGCCUAACACAUGCAAGUCGAACGGUAGCAGGAAACAGCUUGCUGUUUCACUGACGAGUGGCGGACGGGUGAGUAAUGUCUGGGAAACUGCCUGAUGGAGGGGGAUAACUACUGGAAGCGGUAGCUAAUACCGCAUAACGUCGCAAGACCAAAGAGGGGGACCUUCGGGCCUCUUGCCAUCGGAUGUGCCCAGAUGGGAUUAGCUAGUAGGUGGGGUAACGGCUCACCUAGGCGACGAUCCCUAGCUGGUCUGAGAGGAUGACCAGCCACACUGGAACUGAGACACGGUCCAGACUCCUACGGGAGGCAGCAGUGGGGAAUAUUGCACAAUGGGCGCAAGCCUGAUGCAGCCAUGCCGCGUGUAUGAAGAAGGCCUUCGGGUUGUAAAGUACUUUCAGCGGGGAGGAAGGGAGUAAAGUUAAUACCUUUGCUCAUUGACGUUACCCGCAGAAGAAGCACCGGCUAACUCCGUGCCAGCAGCCGCGGUAAUACGGAGGGUGC